rnacentral:rRNA from 1 species
GAUGAACGCUGGCGGCGUGCCUAAUACAUGCAAGUCGAGCGAACAGACGAGGAGCUUGCUCCUCUGACGUUAGCGGCGGACGGGUGAGUAACACGUGGAUAACCCACCUAUAAGACUGGGAUAACUUCGGGAAACCGGAGCUAAUACCGGAUAAUAUAUUGAACCGCAUGGUUCAAUAGUGAAAUACGGUUUUGCUGUCACUUAUAGAUGGAUCCGCGCCGCAUUAGCUAGUUGGUAAGGUAACGGCUUACCAAGGCAACGAUGCGUAGCCGACCUGAAAGGGUGAUCGGCCACACUGGAGCUGAGACACGGUCAAGACUCCUACGGGACGCAGCAGUAGGGAAUCUUCCGCAAUGGGGGAAAGCAUGACGGAGCAACGGCGCGUGAGUGAUGAAGGUCUUCGGAUCGUAAAACUCUGUUAUUAGGGAAGAACAAAUGUGUAAGUAACUAUGCACGUCUUGACGGUACCUAAUCAGAAAGCCACGGCUAACUACGUG